UGGGGAAUAUUGCUCAAUGGGCGCAAGCCUGAAGCAGCGACGCCGCGUGAGGGAUGAAGGCCUUCGGGUUGUAAACCUCUUUCAGCGCCGAAGAAGCGAAAGUGACGGUAGGCGCAGAAGAAGCACCGGCUAACUACGUGCCAGCAGCCGCGGUAAUACGUAGGGUGCAAGCGUUGUCCGGAAUCAUUGGGCGUAAAGAGCUCGUAGGCGGUCUGUCGCGUCUGCUGUGAAAACCUGGGGCUUAACCCUGGGCUUGCAGUUGGUACGGGCAGACUAGAGUGCGGUAGGGGAGACUGGAAUUCCUGGUGUAGCGGUGAAAUGCGCAGAUAUCAGGAGGAACACCGGUGGCGAAGGCGGGUCUCUGGGCCGUAACUGACGCUGAGGAGCGAAAGCAUGGGUAGCGAACAGG
rnacentral:rRNA from 1 species